GACGAACGCUGGCGGCGUGCCUAACACAUGCAAGUCGAACGGAGAAUUAUGACGGAAUCUUUUCGGAGAGGAAGAUAUAAUUACUUAGUGGCGAACGGGUGAGUAACGCGUGGGCAACCUGCCCUUUACAGGGGGAUAACAUCGGGAAAUCGGUGCUAAUACCGCAUAUAACUGAAGUGAAGCAUUUCACAACAGGGAAAGGAGAAAUCCGGUAAAGGAUGGGCCCGCGUCUGAUUAGCUAGUUGGUAAGGUAAUGGCUUACCAAGGCAACGAUCAGUAGCCGGACUGAGAGGUUGAACGGCCACAUUGGGACUGAGACACGGCCCAGACUCCUACGGGAGGCAGCAGUGGGGAAUAUUGCACAAUGGGGGGAACCCUGAUGCAGCGACGCCGCGUGAAGGAUGAAGGUAUUCGUAUCGUAAACUUCUUUGAUUGGGGACGAAAAAAAUGACGGUACCCAAGGAACAAGCCACGGCUAACUACGUGCCAGCCGCCGCCGUAAAAC
rnacentral:rRNA from 1 species